AAAAGCAGAAUAUACCUAAAAUCCUGAUGUUUGUUUGUAUUUCUGUAGCACCAAAUCAUGGACCAGGACCCCAUUGUGCUAUGAAAGUUGUGUUUUAAAGCUACACUGUCAAGAAACUUUGGAUACCAGAAUUUUUCUUGAAAUAGAAGAUGCAUCUGGAACUUCAUUUCUGCUGAGAAUAGAACCCUGUGCAGAGAGCCUACACAAGGCCUAGUCACCAUUUUAAAUCACACUUAAGCCCUAUUUGGAGGAUUUAAUGUGACUAAGGAGGUGCAUAGGCCUUGUCCAGAGGGCCAGCCCAAGGAGAAUUUUCUCUAAAAAUGAGAGGAAAUAAGCACAGACCAAGGCCUGUCAUUAGUGGUUUUGAACACCUCUGUUUUUUGGUUGUCUAGCUUGAAACAUUUGAAAGAAGGCCUGGUUUUCAGAAAUUUCUGGGCACACAUCCUAUGAAAUUUACGCCACUUUGGGGAGAAUCAGUUUCGGCACGGAGAUCACUAAUCGCUUUUGACAAGACUGGCUAUAACUUUUAUGUAGAACCCCAACUGCUAGGGGGUAUAGUGGGGACAAUGUCAAAAAGGGUAAGGCACAAAAUUAGUUACAUCUAAUAAGGGACAUAAGGCAAUAAGAAGAGAUCAGUCAGUCUAACUUCAAAAGGUUAGGAAACUAGGAAGAUACUGGAAUGAUUUAAUAAACAAUCCAUUUGUAAGCACCUAGAGGAUAAUAGGAUUAUAAGGAAUAGUUAGCAUGGAUUUGUCAAGAACAAAUCAUGCCAAACCAACCUAAUUUCUUUCUUCUAUAGGUUUUUCUGGCCUAGUGGAUCGGGGGGAAGCAGUAGACGUGAUGUAUUUUGAUUUUUAGUAAGGCUUUUGAUGCUGUCCCACAGGACAUUCUCAUAAGCAAACUGGGGAAACAUGGUAUAGAUUAAUUUACUACAAGUAAGGUGCACAACUGGUUGUAAAACCAUAAUCAGAGUUAUCAUCAAUGGUUCACGGUCAGAUUGGGAGGGUGUAUCUUAAAGAGUUCCGCAGGGGUCAGUCCUGGGUCCAGUACUAUUCAAUGUUUUUAUUUUAAUGACCUGGAUAAUGGGAU